rnacentral:tRNA from 1 species
GGCCACACAGAAUGUGUAAAGCACUCCAUUGGUAAUGGAGAGUCGACAGUUCAAUCCUGUCUGGCAGCACCA